GGAUGUGAAGGCAGUAUGGCUGUGACAUGUCAGCCCUUUGAUCAUCCAUGCUGAUGCAGCUGAUCUGGUGGGCUCAACGGGUAACCUCUUUCUCCCUCACCGCUCCAGGUGCAUCCUUCUCAAAGCUACAUGCUGGGGGGGGGGACCCACCCUCAUAGAGAGGAGGGCUGUUUCUUUGGUCAAAGGUAUAUGAAUAUCCUGUAGUACUCCCACGAUCUUGUUUUGACUGAUUAGACUCUGUUCCAUUCUAUAUGGUAGUAUCAAGUUUGAAGACAUAGGCAACUACUUUGAAGACAAUAAGAUUCACUAAGAUACCCAUUCUGGUUUGACUAUUGUCUUCUUUGGAAGU
ensembl:misc_RNA 7SK 7SK RNA